CAUGAUUGGUUCAGGGAAGGGAGUGUCAGCUAAUGGGGCUUUGCUGCUGCAGAAGGAUGAAAGCAGGAUUUGUCUGUGUACUCAGUGCAUUGCAAUGCUGUGUGGUGGUGUCACCUGCCAAAUAAGAUUUCCCCUGUAGCACAUGCCCAGCUGGUUUGAAUGUCCAUGGAAACCGUGUACACCCAUUGCAGGGGGUCCUGCAGCUGAGUCCUAAAUGUACCAGUGAAUCCCACUGCCUGUUUGGUCAUACCUACAGCUGAAAACACUUGGGCUGGAAAAGCAGAAAGAACCUAUAUGACUGGGAAAACCCAGCAGGCCUCUAAAUUCCUGUUUUAGCUUGUCACCAGCUUUAUUGAGACUGUUUUUAGGAAGCAUUUAAAAUCUAGACGUCUAAAAUUACACAUCCAACACCAUGUUCAGGCUGCAGAUCAGGGGGCUGAUUUUAAGACGUGAUGGGCAUUUAUGCUGUUUACUGUUUUCAGGUCUCAGCACUUCUGAAAAGACAGGGGAAGACUGAGAGAGCAAGUUAAAGGCUGGUUGCAGAUGACUCUAAGGGAACAGAUCCUCUACUGGGAGCUGUUAUUGGAGUCAUGCAGACAAGAUCCCUCAAGGAGCAGGUUGCCACAAUUUAAUCAGUGAUUCCUAAGGAUAGUGACCUGCCACUAGAUGAGAAGAGACUGAGAUUAUCGUAGUUGACACGGGAAAAGAAUUGGAUCUAUGUCCUGCUUGAAAGAAGAAUUUAUCAGAUUACCUCUGAAUAUGCAUUAGAAGACCAGCAGAGUUCAGCCCUUUCUGGAGAUGCCUUUCCAGCUCGCUGCAGGAACAACAGCCCUGGUGUAAUUCCAGGAAGGAAGCAGAACCCAUGGAGUCAGCACGGCAGGGUAACCACUGCAUCUGGAAUUUCCCACUGUCAGGAGUGCCCUUUGCUGAUUAAAAUGUAAAGGGCUGAGCAAUUCCUCAAAUCCACAGAAAUGUUAAUCUUAGGGGAAAGUUCCUUUUGUGAGGAACUCAGCCAGGAUGUUUGCUGUCAUCAGAGCACUACAGAGAAUCCAGGACCUCCUGGCACCAGUUCACAAGCAGCAGGGACUGGGGGCUGUCCAGGGGCUCUUCAGGAGGGUCUGUAAAGACUUGGGCUGAAUCUGUGAGUGAGCAAGGAGUGGGUGCUGUGAUGCCUUGAUGAGAGAUCACAUCCCAGAGGCACAGGUGGUCCUUACACUUGUUUGAGGUGGAAAUAUGCAAUUCAGUGAAUACAGUCAGAUAACUUUAACAAUAAAGUGUAAUGAAGUUAAAAAUCCAAGCUAAAUGGAUUUUGAAAACCUCAAAACCUAAAAGCUUAAAAAAAAAAGGCACUUCAUCUGUUCUGUUAUAAACCCUACAGCAAAGUAAGUGGCUGAAUAACAAUGCUGUCUUCAGCAAGAAAGCACAAGUCUUCACAGCGGGUUGGUGACACAUGGAUAUUGGAGACCAGGACAAGCUUCAGACAGACAGCUGGGAAAAUCAAAGUUUUAAGAGGAACUGUUUGGCUCUCAGUGGAUAAUAUAUCUAUGAAGCAUGGGAGACUUUCUGGACUCGUUGAACUUUCAGAGGCAGCCCAG